UACGUAGGGGGCUAGCGUUGUCCGGAUUUAUUGGGCGUAAAGGGCGCGUAGGCGGCUCGGCACGUCCGUUGUGAAAUCGCCCGGCUCAACUGGGCGGGGUCAGCGGAUACGGUCGAGCUUGAGCAAGCUAGGGGGUAAUGGAAUUCCCGGUGUAGUGGUGGAAUGCGUAGAUAUCGGGAGGAACACCAGUGGCGAAGGCGGUUACCUGGGGCUUUGCUGACGCUGAUGCGCGAAAGCGUGGGGAGCGAUCCGG
rnacentral:rRNA from 1 species